GACCAUUCAGGUGGCCUAGUGGUUAGAGCGUCUUCUCCAGAUGUGGAAGAUCAUGGGUUUGAACCCCGGUCUAGUCA